CGUGUAGGCGGCCAAGCAAGUCAGAGGUGAAAGCCCUGGGCUCAACCUGGGAACUGCCUUUGAAACUGUUUGGCUUGAGACCGGAAGAGGAUGGCGGAAUUCCCAGUGUAGAGGUGAAAUUCGUAGAUAUUGGGAAGAGCACCGGUGGCGAAGGCGGCCAUCUGGUCCGGUUCUGACGCUGAGGCGCGAAAGCGUGGGGAGCAAACA
rnacentral:rRNA from 1 species